rnacentral:rRNA from 1 species
UACGUAGGGUGCGAGCGUUAAUCGGAAUUACUGGGCGUAAAGCGUGCGCAGGCGGUUCGUUGUGUCGGUGGUGAAAGCCCCGGGCUUAACCUGGGAAUGGCCAUGGAAACUGGCGAACUGGAGUGUGGCAGAGGGGGGUGGAAUUCCGCGUGUAGCAGUGAAAUGCGUAGAGAUGCGGAGGAACACCGGUGGCGAAAGCGGCUACCUGGACCAGCACUGACACUGAAGCACGAAAGCGUGGGGAGCAAACAGG